rnacentral:lncRNA from 1 species
UUAUCACUGCCAGAAUCCUCCAUUUCUGUAGUGUCCUGUGUGAUUGGAAUAAUCAACUUCUCACACCAGCAAGGAUUUUACAGGUGCCUUGGAUUAAAACAGAAUUUUUUUUUAAAAAACUUUUAAGUCUUUAUUUACAAUGCCACUUUUAAAAGAAAUCUCAAUUAUGGAACUGCCGAUAGGCCUGUUUAAUGCCAUUUGUGGUAGAAUUAUUUAAAUGCUUUUUUCCUUUAAAACUUCACCGUGAAGUCACAGACAGUAACCAGUGUUUUAUCAUGUAUUGAAGGCACAUGAGUGUUUUUCAGAGUAUUGCCCAUGGACCAACCAUUCAGUUCAUGGGAUGCUUAUUAAGAAUACAGAUUCCAAGGCCCCAUUCCAGUUCAUCCACAUCACAACUCAGGUGUGGCUUUCGAGUGUCUGUUCCACAGACACCACAGACAUAGCACACGACAGUUGAGAACCACUAGAAUGGGGAGUAGGGAAAACAUGUUUGAUGGGUGUUUAUUUGUGGGCGCAGAGCUGAGCCACGCACAUUGAGACCGGCGUCUGUGCUUGUGCUUCUGCACAUCUCAGUGUUCACUAACUCUCCAUUCACUAGCAACUGCAAACUAAGUCCAGGCUGUUGGCUGGCCUCUCAGCUCUUCAGUGAUGACUUUGACCUGUUGAAUCAUCUUUGGCUCAUGGCAAAGCGUAACUCUGAAGCUUGCCUGCCGAAGCCGUUGCCUUCCUGAUAGUCACCACUGGUCAUCUCAGACGACUGCACAUGUUGAUAACAUGAGGAACAUGGG